rnacentral:misc_RNA from 1 species
ACAGGAUCUACCAUACUUGGAGAGGAAGAAACUAGCUCUUACCAUUCAGUUCCUGCGAGCCAAUGGGGUGCAAAUAAGUAUUCACUAUGGUCUGUCUUUUAUAUAAAGAAACAUUUGCAUCCUAAACCAACAAACUGCUCUAUGUAUCUUCCACACUAAAGCAUAAGACUGAAUUUGGGCCUCUAGUUCUGUUUGUAUCAACAUCAUACAGGCUAUGAGAUAAUAAAUCCAUGGAUCUCCUUCUGCUUCUGAAUCCAAAUUCAUCUCAUGGGAG